rnacentral:rRNA from 1 species
CCUACGGGAGGCAGCAGUGGGGAAUUUUGGACAAUGGGCGCAAGCCUGAUCCAGCAAUGCCGCGUGAGUGAAGAAGGCCUUCGGGUUGUAAAGCUCUUUUGUCAGGGAAGAAACGGUCUACUCUAAUACAGUGGGCUAAUGACGGUACCUGAAGAAUAAGCACCGGCUAACUACGUGCCAGCAGCCGCGGUAAUACGUAGGGUGCAAGCGUUAAUCGGAAUUACUGGGCGUAAAGCGUGCGCAGGCGGUUAUAUAAGUCAGAUGUGAAAUCCCCGGGCUCAACCUGGGAACUGCAUUUGAGACUGUAUGGCUAGAGUGUGUCAGAGGGGGGUAGAAUUCCACGUGUAGCAGUGAAAUGCGUAGAUAUGUGGAGGAAUACCGAUGGCGAAGGCAGCCCCCUGGGAUAACACUGACGCUCAUGCACGAAAGCGUGGGGAGCAAACAGGAUUAGAUACCCUGGUAGUCCACGCCCUAAACGAUGUCUACUAGUUNUCGGGACUUAAUUAUNUGUAGANAGCACGACGNGAGUAGACGCCGCGGGAGGUACGGUCGCGAAGAAGUAAAACUAACGUAAAGUAGAAGUUAGUAGGACGUAGAGAGAGACCGACGGACGACGACGAGGGAGGAGGG